CUUGGCACUGUCUGAGCGCAGGUGUUUACUGACUUACCUGUGUCACUCAGUGUCAAACA
rnacentral:pre_miRNA from 1 species